AACGAACGCUGGCGGCAGGCCUAACACAUGCAAGUCGAACGCCCGUAGCAAUACGGGAGUGGCAGACGGGUGAGUAACGCGUGGGAACGUGCCCUUCGGUUCGGAAUAACUCAGGGAACUUGAGCUAAUACCGGAUACGUCCGUAAGGAGAAAGUAUUUAUCGCCGAAGGAUCCGGCCCGCGUCGGAUUAGCUAGUUGGUGAGGUAACCGGCCCACCAAGGCGACGAUCCGUAGCUGGUCUGAGAGGAUGAUCAGCCACACUGGGACUGAGACACGGCCCAGACUCCUACGGGAGGCAGCAGUGGGGAAUAUUGGACAAGUGGGCGAAAGCCUGACGCAGCGACGCCGCGUGAGGGAUGACGGCCU
rnacentral:rRNA from 1 species